rnacentral:rRNA from 1 species
AGAGUUUGAUCAUGGCUCAGGAUUAACGCUGGCGGCGUGCAUAACACAUUCAAGUCGAACGGUGAGGGGGCUUCGGCCCCUGAUCAGUGGCGGACGGGUGAGUAACGCGUGAGCAACCUGCCCUUUUGUGGGGGAUAACGACGGGAAACUGUCGCUAAUACCGCAUAACCAGGUAGUACCGCAUGGUACAGCCUGCAAAGAUUUAUUGCAGAAGGAUGGGCUCGCGUCCGAUUAGAUAGUUGGUGAGGUAACGGCUCACCAAGUCGACGAUCGGUAGCCGGACUGAGAGGUUGAACGGCCACAUUGGAACUGAGAUACGGUCCAGACUCCUACGGGAGGCAGCAGUGGGGAAUAUUGGGCAAUGGGCGAAAGCCUGACCCAGCGACGCCGCGUGAGGGAAGGAGGUCUUCGGAUUGUAAACCUUAAACAACAGGGACGAAGAAAAUGACGGUACCUGUUAGGAAGCCACGGCUAACUACGUGCCAGCAGCCGCGGUAAUACGUAGGUGGCAAGCGUUAUCCGGAUUUACUGGGUGUAAAGGGUGUGUAGGCGGAGAGGCAAGUCAGACGUGAAAAUUACGGGCUCAACCCGUAACCUGCGUUUGAAACUGUUUCCCUUGAGUGUCGGAGAGGUAAAUGAAUUCCCA